rnacentral:rRNA from 1 species
CAGUAGCCGCGGUAAAACGAAGGGGGCUAGCGUUGUUCGGAAUUACUGGGCGUAAAGCGCACGUAGGCGGACAUUUAAGUCAGGGGUGAAAUCCCGGGGCUCAACCCCGGAACUGCCUUUGAUACUGGGUGUCUAGAGUAUGGAAGAGGUGAGUGGAAUUCCGAGUGUAGAGGUGAAAUUCGUAGAUAUUCGGAGGAACACCAGUGGCGAAGGCGGCUCACUGGUCCAUUACUGACGCUGAGGUGCGAAAGCGUGGGGAGCAAACAGGAUUAGAUACCCGUGUAGUCCCUGUCUCUUAUAC